rnacentral:rRNA from 1 species
GACGAACGCGUGGCGGCGUGGAUUAGGCAUGCAAGUCGAACGGUAUCAUCUUCGGGGUGAGAGAGUGGCGAACUGGUGAGUAACACGUAGGUUAUCUACCCUCAAGACGGGGACAACCCAGGGAAACUUGGGCUAAUACCGGAUGUGAGCAACUUUUAGUUGUUUGAAAGGUGGCGUAAGCUGUCGCUUGGGGAUGAGCCUGCGUCCUAUUAGUUAGUUGGUGAGGUAACGGCUCACCUAGGCAAUGAUAGGUAGGCGGCCUUAACGGGUGGUCGCCCACACUGGGAUUGAGAUACGGCCCAGACUCCUACGGGAGGCAGCAGUCGAGAAUAGUCUACAAUGGUCGGAAGACUGAUAGUGCGACGCCGCGUGAACGAUGAAUCCCUUCGGGGUGUAAAGUUCUUUUAUAUGUGAGCAGUGCUUCUUAUAUUAACAGUAUGGGGAGAGAGAUAUUAGCAUAUGAAUAAGCAACGGCUAACUCCGUG